GACAGCCAUAUAUCAUGUUCAAUGCAUUGGUUCUCAUUCAAUCGUCAAAGUUAAGCUACGUUGAUCCUAGGUGGUACUUGAAUCGUUGACCACUUGGGAGAUCUAGAUGAUGCAAGCA
rnacentral:rRNA from 1 species